CUCAAGCGGGGCGCCUGGGUGGCUCAGUCGGUUGAGCGUCCGACUUCGGCUCAGGUCAUGAUGUCGUGGUUUGUGAGUUCGAGCCCCGCGUCGGGCUCUGUGCUGUCCUUGCAGAGCCCACGGCAGAUCUUCUGUCUCCCUCUCUGUCUGCCCCUUCCCCACUUGUGCUCUCUCUUUCUCAAAACUAAAAAUAAACAUUACUCAGCUACUCUGUCAAAGGAAACCUUAAGAAGGGACACCUGAUGCAAACGUGGCUCACAGUCUUCACCGUUGAGUUGGGUGACGAGUACGUGUGGAGGUUCAGACAUAGGUGUGUGUUUGGAAUUUUUCAGACAAAAGAGUUUUAGAGCUUUGUUGGCCGUUCCCAAGCCUUAACGUCCUAUUGGCUCUCUCCUCUUUCAGGUGUCUCCCAAAUAGGUACCUCUGCUGUAACCAAAUUCGGACGAGGGUGAUUGGCUGAGAGCUCUUAAAAAGUCACGUGCUUCCACCUGUGGCUGAGAGCACGGACCUAAGAAGAGCUUGUGGCCUCAGGGAGGAGCGAGUCUGGAAAGCACGCUCUGCUGAUCCCUGCCGAGCUUGCUGUGAGGUCUGGACUCCAGCCGAGUGAGGCCCCUCGGUCGCAGAGUCUAAGGAGGCGUUGCCUCCCAGGGGCCGCCCCUGCGCUGUUGCCCCCGGGGAGGGAGCUCCUUAAAGCCUCUGCCCUAGGCACCCCGCUUGCCUUCCGCUACCCCAGGUCCUACUGCGUUGGAUGCCUCAAUACAACUUCCAGAACACCAGGGGACCGGAAGGGCUCCCAAGGCAAACCAGGCGACCCUGCCAGUCUGUCCGUCCGUGCACUCCAGGAAGUCUCAAGGGGGAGCAUCAGGCCUCCUGCUAACAAGCGAGAGACAGAGCACGAGCAGGGAAGGGGCAGAGAGAGGGAGACACAGAAUCUGAAACAGGCUCCAGGCUCUGAGCUGUCAGCAUAGAGCCCGACGCGGGGCUCGAACUCACGGACCGUGAGAUCAUGACCUGAGCCGAAGUCAGACGCUCAACCGACUGAGCCACCCAGGCGCCCCAGAAGUGGCAUUUAAUAACCACCUCAAGCAAUAAAGCUGUGCAGUUCUCUUCCAGAACUUCUGAUCACACUAAGGAACACAUCUCACUCGGAUGCCAGUGUGUCUUAGAACUUUCCUGAAGUUGGCCAGUAUCUCUUUAACGAAGACAUCAGGAUUUAGGCCCAGAAAUUUCUGCAGGUAACCAUAUAGGAUUAUAAUUUAGUAUCCUUUGUCUUUUGUCCUUAUUGCAUUUUUUUAUGUUCACUUAAAAUUUAUUCCGUAUGCAGAAUUUCUAUUCGUGUAUUUAAGUUUUAUCUAUGGCUAGUGAUAGCAACAUUUAAUAAUUUCUAGCAGGAUGCUGUUAGGAUCAAAAAAUAGCAUCCCGAGUUUGAGGAUUAAGGCACAGGGUUGGGAGUUGCAGUUUGAAUCUUGGUUCUGCCACAGUCUUGGAAAAAAAUCCACUUUUUAAAAUUUUUUUAAUGUCUGUUUAUUUUUGAGAGAAAGUGUGACCACGAUAGGGGCAGAGAGAGAGGGAGACACAAUCUGAAGCAGGCGCCAGGCUUUGAGCUGGCAGCACCGAGCCUGACGCAGGGCCGGAACCCAUGAACCAUGAGAUCAUGACCUGCGUCGGACACCUAUUUUUUUCUGCCCCAGAAAAAAAUGAACUUUUGAACCUCACUUUUUCUGCUGUAAAGUGAAGAUGCUGACGUACAAGAUGCUCCACUGUCCCAAAAAUAAGGAUGUAAAAAUUACUGUGUGUCCAGCACCCGGAGCAUGGAAGGUCUAGAAGUACCAAAACUAAAUGGCCGAAUGCAGUAACACAAACAUCCCAACGAAGACAGUUGUUUCAUCUCACGGUUUUAUCAAGCAGCCACAAACCACGUGGGUGACAGAGGUAGUCUCAUUCCUGUGUCUGUAAAGGAGGGUUAUCCUGACCUUUGUACACUAACACAUCCCAUUCCACAGGAUUCUGGGUUUU